rnacentral:rRNA from 1 species
ACACUCCUACGGGAGGCAGCAGUGGGGAAUUUUGGACAAUGGGCGAAAGCCUGAUCCAGCAAUGCCGCGUGAGUGAAGAAGGCCUUCGGGUUGUAAAGCUCUUUUGUCAGGGAAGAAACGGUGAAAGCUAAUAUCUUUUGCUAAUGACGGUACCUGAAGAAUAAGCACCGGCUAACUACGUGCCAGCAGCCGCGGUAAUACGUAGGGUGCAAGCGUUAAUCGGAAUUACUGGGCGUAAAGCGUGCGCAGGCGGUUUUGUAAGUCUGAUGUGAAAUCCCCGGGCUCAACCUGGGAAUUGCAUUGGAGACUGCAAGGCUAGAAUCUGGCAGAGGGGGGUAGAAUUCCACGUGUAGCAGUUAAAUGCGUAGAUAUGUGGAGGAACACCGAUGGCGAAGGCAGCCCCCUGGGUCAAGAUUGACGCUCAUGCACGAAAGCGUGGGGAGCAAACAGGAUUAGAAACCCGAGUAGUCCCAUGA